rnacentral:rRNA from 1 species
GACAGAGGGUGCAAACGUUGUUCGGAAUUACUGGGCGUAAAGCGAGUGUAGGCGGUCUGAAAAGUCGGGUGUGAAAGCCCCGGGCUCAACCCGGGAAGUGCACUCGAAACUGCCAGGCUAGAGUAUCGGAGAGGUUGGUGGAAUUCUCGGUGUAGAGGUGAAAUUCGUAGAUAUCGAGAGGAACACCGGUGGCGAAGGCGGCCAACUGGACGAAUACUGACGCUGAGACUCGAAAGCGUGGGAGCAAACAGG